rnacentral:lncRNA from 1 species
AAAAAAAAGAAGAGGAAAUUACAUGGAAAAGAUCAAGUUUUAAGAACAGAACUAUAACUGAGAAUGGCUGUCACAAGCAAACCAAAAAAAAUCUAGAAAAUGUAAACAUAAUGAAAUCACAAAUUAUAAAUUAUGUUUUCACUUUUAUUUUUAUUAAUAAGCCAAUGUUAAGAGAAACUGAUUUUUAAAAUAAAUGCAAUGACUACUCCUUCAAGCUAGAUCUCAACAGAAUUACAUAGUUGUAGAUGACCUCUAUUUCUACAAAAGAAAGCAUAUAAUUACUUUUUGAAUAAAAGUCUUAACUGUGCUUUUAAAUGUACUUAAACAUCAGUUUAGAACUCCCAGAGAAGUAGGAAGUUUUUUUCUCCUCACUGGGCAACUGAAUUUCACUAAGAAAUCACUUAAAUUCUUUAAAUUACUCUGUUCAAAUAUAUAUUACAAUGUAGAUUCUGAAGAAGGAAAAAAGAAAAUAGUAAUUUUCAGUCAUUUCUGAUAGAGGCUGAUUAACACAAUCUAAUUUAUCAAAUUUAGAUAACCUUUCAACCAAGGUUUAUUUCAAAGUAUUUCUAACUAGCACAUAAGAGAUCUCAAAAAGUGAGGGAGGAAGAGAGAUAUGGAAGUCAAUAAGAGGUAAUAGUUUCCUCUGUAAAAUAAGAGUACCAUCACAUAUCUGGCAAGUCUAUAUAGGAUUUUUAAAAAACAAUCAACUAUCCAGUGAGAGUUCAAGUGGACCUUAUUAUUAUAGAUACAGAAAUAGUCUUCUACUUCAAAAAAAGAAAACCAUAAGGAAUUCACUUCUGCAUAUUUUUAUCCCGCUGUGGAAAGAAUAGCUGAAUUUCCUUGGAAUAGAAGAUUAGUAUUCUCUUGCAAAGAGGAACAAGGCAUAGGAUAUGGAUUACACUGAAAAAUUAAUAAGAAUGGAAAGAAAGCUUUUAAAAUGUGCCUUCUCUUUGCCAAGAAGGCAGUUAAAACUUUUGAGUACACUAAACGCUUAUCAGAAGUACUACAUUUACAGAACUUUGGAGGAUAAAGCUUGAACUUGUGAUUUCUGGUCUUACUAAAAAAAAGGCUACAUUACUUCUAAUGCAGUAGUAUUUAUGUAAACACUUAUAUGGUAUUUGAAUAUUUUCAUUAUUUCCAACAUCUUUUUGGGUGCUCACAGCAUUUCUGUGUAGAAAAUAACGAUAGAUAUUAUUCUCCAUUUUAAAAACUGGGAAUCUAAGGUUGAAAAAAACUAAUCUGAGUUCAUAAGGCUAAUAUGGGUGAAGUUGGAACGAAGAUCCAAGGUACUUUAUCUCCUAUCUAGGAAACGGAAACAGCUGGAAUAAUGAAGCUGUUUCAAGUCCUGACAAAAGAGGGGUGGGAAAGUUAAUUGUUAAUUUCUUCUUAAAGCAAAAUUUAAAAAGCCAAUUUAAUUAGGUAACAAUUUAGGAAAGCUGAAAUUUAGUUUAAAACAUUUAUACUGCCUUAAAACUAGAGACAGUACAUACAUUCACAAAGUAUGGAAAGUACUAGUAUAAAUAAAAGAACAAAAGUUAACUUAAGUUUUGGGGUUUGUUUUUAACGUUUUUAAGGAGGAAAAAGGAAACAUCAGACAGCUCUCCAUCUUACACGUCUUAACUUUUCCCAGUAGCUAGUAAUAUCCCUGAUAAAAACAAUGUAUUUACUAAUGCCUGUCCAACGUAGGGAUGCUCUUAUGCUGUCCUUACUUUCUUGAUGAUACAAAAUACAGAGUAACCCUAGCCAAUUUAUUCAUGCAGCCAUAACCUGAGGCACCACUAAUUACCUUGUAAUGGUAAAUGAAACACCAUGUGCUGAAGGAAAUAGAACUGCCUUAGAAAUAGACACUACAGGAGUUCCCCCAGUGGCCUCACAGUUAGGAUCUGAUAUUGUCACUGCUGUAGCACAGAUCUGAUCCUUGGCUCAGGAAUUUCUACAUGCUGCGGGCAAGGCCAAAAAAAAAAAGAACAAACACAAAACCCCUACCCCUAUAAAUUUAGAGACUUCAGAGAUAUUUCAUGUAAACAAGUCUUCAAAAUAACUGAUACUUCCCCUUUAAAUCACAACUUAUCUUUAAACAAUCAUAAUGAAAAUAUUUUAUAUUUAUUUAUUUAUUUGGCCAUGGCAUGCAAUGGCUUCAUGUGGGAUCUCAGUUCCCAACCAGGGACUGAAACAUGGCUGCAGCAGUGGAAGUGCUGAAUCCCAACCACUAGACCAAUAGGGAACUCCUGAAAAUAUUUUAAAAGAGAUUUCUAGGUCUUUUACCUCUGCCUUAAUCUACACAUGAUAUAAUCUUUUCUUGAUGACUCAAACUCAUUAAUGUAAAUAUCAAUUAUUAGACUAUUCUAUUACACAGUGACUCUUGGAGUUAUUGAGGGAUGUCCAACUAUUUGUCUCUUCACUAACUCAGCCUACACUACCUUUAAAAACAAGGUUCCUACUGCUUGCUUCACAGCUGUCUCUUAUAGGCCACCAACACCUUAGCCAAGGUUUCUAAAAUGCCAGUUGUAGUUCAAAAUAUGUACAAUCUGAAUAAGUAGCUGAUAUACUUUACCUUAUACAGAUUCUAAAUCAAGCCACAGUGUAGCUAUUUUCACUGUUCUAAGGUCUAGCUCAAAGGCUUUUCUUCUUUCACUUCCUAGUACUGAGACCUAGUCUAGGCAGUUGCUAGAAGUCUGGCCACAAAAUAACAUUUAUAAUAGUAGUUAUUUUUGCAUGUUCCCUUUAUUUUUUACUGUAACAUAGGGAAAAAAAUAAAUGACAGUCAUAACAAAACACAAAAAACAACCAUGUAGACAAAUGAUGUAAGGCAGUCACAUUAUGUGUUAUAUGGACAAUUACCUAGCUAAUUAUUAGCCAAGAGCCAGCAAACUAGGCCUGUUGUCCAAAUUCUGCAAUUGUAAAAAAUAAGCAAAAAAGGAUACUCAACAGAAACUGUAAGUGGUUCAAAAGGCCUAAAAUAUUAACUACCUGGGACUCUACAGAAAAAGUGUCCUGACCCCUGAUCUCAGUGGUAAUCAACUCACACAUAUAAAACAUAUGCUAUUCCUCAUACUUAAAGCUUAAGCUAUUAAUAUGUCAAGGUAGAUGAAGCAUUCUUUCAGCUAUGGGUUCAUAAUGAUACAGCCAAACUGUCUGGUCUAGCCCUUGCCUAUUCCUCUUUUGACCAUGCCAUGGGGCUUAGCCAAAAUCUUGACUUUCUUUCCUUCUUCCUCCUGGUACUUGUCCAUGGAUGCUCCCAGCCUGGUCUCCUUGCUAUGUCUUACAGUUCUGUCCAUCUUUUUUAGAAUGUCUUUCCUUUUGCUAUGUAAAUCCUUCCUAAACUUCAAGUGUGACUUCCUCUUAAGUGCCUUCCAGGGUCAUUCUACCCCUCAGUGGGCUUUCCUUUAAAUUAUAGUCCUGGCCACACGACUUAGUAAUACCAUCUUAUAUUUUUGCUAAUGAUUUCCUGUGUGUUCGUCUAGUAUCCCCAACUAGUCUGUAAACUACCUGAAGGAAGAAAACACAUCAUAUUGCUUUUGUAUCCCUACUCUAAGAGCAGCUCAUCACUCUCUGGGCACAUGUCAUCUCCCAAAUGCAUCUCUCUAUCUUUGAGAAAAAACAGCAUGAGGGCUGAUAAUGCGUGAUAAGUAAUGAGAAAUAGCAAAGGAAGACACCUACAAAGGAACCUGAUGCAAGACCAUAGGCUACACUGCAAAUCUAGAAAGUAUAUGGAAAAACAAGCAAAACUACAAUACUGGGAGAAUAGAGACAAAGAUCAAGGGGUAAAGAGACCACAGUAUAAUUCUGUGAAAUAAAAUGAGACCAAAAUGUUAAGAAAAUUAUAAAAGUUCCCAAUACAUGUAAAAAAAAUUGCCUUUCAAUACUGUUGGUCAUUAAUUUCUUUUUAACAAGCAGCUCUCAACACUGAUAUACAUAGGGGCCAUUUUUCUUUUUCUUUUUUGUGAUGAGAUAAACUAGAGCAGUAAAAGACUCAAUGUAAUAGACAUGCAGAGUAUUCUAAACCUUUGGAUUUACAAUAUUGUGAAUUUAUUUGAAGUCUGCUAGAGAUUACUAGAGGGAAAAAAAGGAGAUUUAUCUUUUGAUUAUCUGGCUAAUAAAAUUGGAAAUGACAUGCAUAUUCCUACAUCAUGCUCCAAGAUACCAUUUAGAUUCAUUUUCUUAGAAAAAUGCACUGAGAACAUUAAAAAAAAAUGUUUAGGUUACUUCAUCAAAUUGUAUUUUUAAAAUAAAGGCAAAACAGAAGAUGCACAAGCCUUGGAUGUAUGUAUCUACAUUAAAAAAAUACAGAUUUUUUAAAACGGUCAUAACUACUACCCAUAAGUCUAAACUAAAAAUAUAAACUAAAUGCUCCUCACCUAUGAAAAGCUACAAAAGACAAAAGAAUAUUAAUCAUGCAUUCCUUCUCUUUUUUCUGGGUUUUACAGUCCCUCAAUCCUGACCUCUGCCUGGUUGGUCAGAGCAGAGGGAGAAAUUUUUCCAAAUUUGUAAUAAAAUAUGCUCAAUAUUGUACCAUAGAAUUUUAAAAAUUAAAAUGUAAUUACUAAAUGCACGAUAAAAUAAAGCCGCUCUCAAUUACUCACACAAAGGGGGGAAGUGAUGACACAGAUGAUACCAAAAGAUAAUUCUACAAUCUGUUUUUCUGAAUGCAUAUCAUUAAUUUGCAAGAAGCAAAUUACCCUUAUAAUUAUGUUUGACUGAAGCCAGUGUUAACCAGAAGUUUAUUUUUCCGGAACAGUCAAUGAUUUUUGACAGUUAAGACAAAAGGGAAAAAGGGAAUUCAUUCAGGAGUAUACAGUUAAAAAAAAAUUCUGUCAGCCUGGUAUUCUUAGUUAAUAGAUGCUUAGACACAAAGGUGUCCAAAGGAACUUGCAUGAAAUUUCACAAAAGAAAAUCUCGGAUUUUCGAUUCUUAGCACCCCAGUAACCAUUAUACCUCCUCCUCCCACACACACACACAUACACACACACACACACACACACACACACA